CGUCAAAUUUCAAUAAUAUGCAAUUUUACUUUGUUUCCUUUCCAAAAUUUGCUUUCGUAUCUAAUAAACUAGGAGUGUAUUUAGCUUGGAAAGAAAAUAUAUCCUCAACGUUAUUCAGUCUCUCUCCUUUAUUUUGCCCACGUGGAUCGUUAGAUGCCAAUAUAUCUGAGAUUGCCGUGUUUGUUGAGAUGGUCUGGUAGUAGAUGCUGACUGCUACAGAGUGAAAAACAGGAGAAGGACUAUCCUGA
rnacentral:misc_RNA from 1 species